rnacentral:rRNA from 1 species
GAUGAACGCUGGCGGCGUGCCUAAUACAUGCAAGUCGAGCGAACGGACGAGAAGCUUGCUUCUCUGAUGUUAGCGGCGGACGGGUGAGUAACACGUGGAUAACCUACCUAUAAGACUGGGAUAACUUCGGGAAACCGUAGCUAAUACCGGAUAAUAUUUUGAACCGCAUGGUUCAAAAGUGAAAGACGGACUUGCUGUCACUUAUAGAUGGAUCCGCGCUGCAUUAGCUAGUUGGUAAGGUAACGGCUUACCAAGGCAACGAUGCAUAGCCGACCUGAGAGGGUGAUCGGCCACACUGGAACUGAGACACGGUCCAGACUCCUACGGGAGGCAGCAGUAGGGAAUCUUCCGCAAUGGGCGAAAGCCUGACGGAGCAACGCCGCGUGAGUGAUGAAGGUCUUCGGAUCGUAAAACUCUGUUAUUAGGGAAGAACAUAUGUGUAAGUAACUGUGCACAUCUUGACGGUUCCUAAUCAGAAAGCCACGGCUAACUACGUG